rnacentral:rRNA from 1 species
CCUACGGGAGGCAGCAGUGGGGAAUAUUGGGCAAUGGAGGAAACUCUGACCCAGCAACGCCGCGUGAAUGAUGAAGGUCUUCGGAUUGUAAAGUUCUUUUCUAAGGGAAGAAGAAAGUGACGGUACCUUAGGAAUAAGCCUCGGCUAACUACGUGCCAGCAGCCGCGGUAAUACGUAGGAGGCAAGCGUUAUCCGGAAGGACUGGGCGUAAAGGGUGCGUAGGUGGUUUGAUAAGUUGGUAGCGUAACUCCGAGGCUCAACCUCGGCACUACUACCAAAACUGUCGGACUUGAGUGCAGGAGGGGCAACUGGAAUUCCUAGUGUAGCGGUGGAAUGCGUAGAUAUUAGGAGGAACACCGGUGGCGAAGGCGGCUUACUGGACCGUAACUGACGUUGAGGCUCGAAAGCGUGGGGAGCAAACAGGAUUAGAUACCCUUGUAGUC